rnacentral:rRNA from 1 species
ACGAACGCUGGCGGCGUGCUUAACCCAUGCACGUCGAACGGAAAGGCCUCUUUCGGGGGGUACUCGAGUGGCGAACGGGUGAGUAACACGUGAGUAACCUGCCCUUGACUUUGGGAUAACUUCAGGAAACUGGGGCUAAUACCGGAUAGGAGCUCCUGCUGCAUGGUGGGGGUUGGAAAGUUUCGGCGGUUGGGGAUGGACUCGCGGCUUAUCAGCUUGUUGGUGGGGUAGUGGCUUACCAAGGCUUUGACGGGUAGCCGGCCUGAGAGGGUGACCGGCCACAUUGGGACUGAGAUACGGCCCAGACUCCUACGGGAGGCAGCAGUGGGGAAUAUUGCACAAUGGGUGGAAGCCUGAUGCAGCAACGCCGUGUGCGGGAUGACGGCCUUCGGGUUGUAAACCGCUUUCGCUCAUGACGAAGCUUUGUGUGACGGUAGUGGGUAAAGAAGCACCGGCUAACUACGUG